UCCUGAAAAAGGCAAACCCGGUGAAAGCCGGGGGCGCAAAGCCGCGGGCCUAAGGGCUUAUGCCUAUGGCAGCCGGGCUGCCGGG
rfam:Fervidicola ferrireducens strain Y170 AN618_contig000022, whole genome shotgun sequence.